rnacentral:rRNA from 1 species
ACGAAGGGUGCAAGCGUUACUCGGAAUUACUGGGCGUAAAGCGUGCGUAGGUGGUGGCUUAAGUCCGUUGUGAAAGCCCUGGGCUCAACCUGGGAAUUGCAGUGGAUACUGGGUCACUAGAGUGUGGUAGAGGGUGGCGGAAUUCCCGGUGUAGCAGUGAAAUGCGUAGAGAUCGGGAGGAACACCCGUGGCGAAGGCGGCCACCUGGGCCAACACUGACACUGAGGCACGAAAGCGUGGGGAGCAAACAGG